UACGGGGGGAGCAAGCGUUGCUCGGAAUCAUUGGGCGUAAAGCGCACGUAGGCGGCCUGAUAAGUCGGGUGUGAAAGCCCUGGGCUCAACCCAGGAAGUGCACUCGAAACUGUCAGGCUUGAAUAUGGAAGAGGGUCGCGGAAUUCCCGGUGUAGAGGUGAAAUUCGUAGAUAUUCGGAAGAACACCAGUGGCGAAGGCGACUCACUGGACACGUAUUGACGCUGAGGUGCGAAAGCGUGGGGAGCAAACAGG
rnacentral:rRNA from 1 species